rnacentral:lncRNA from 1 species
CGCGAAAAUCUAGUCGUUCCACAUCUGGUCUGCUCUGCAGUCCAAACGUUGCUGCUAUACAGACAGGUGACGCAGGCCUGGAGGGGUGUGGCUCUUUGUGUUUCCAUGCGCCAACUGGUUGAAACGUGCUCACUGAAUUGAACGAGGACACCUCAGCACACCCAGCUUGUCAAACGAAGUAAAUGACCACCAAUGAGCUUUCUCAUGCACUAUCCUCAAAACACUUCCCGGUAAUGGCGUGGGAAGUGUAAGCGCAAAAGGGAGUGAGUGCCUUUCGGAUUCCCUAAAUAAUAAGCGGACUGAACCUGGAAGCUAGAUAAGCAUCAGUAACUGGAGUUUGGCAUUUUACUUUGAAAAGCAACAUUACUCACACCCAAGCAAAACUUCAGACAAAUGUGGCUGCUCAAACCAUAACUGUGACCAGCAUGGCGAUGUGGUUUGGAGCAGCUCGUGUCGCAUCGUUAAAACAUUUUGCCUCUGUCCUCAGGACAUCAAAGAAUUUCGAGCCGCGGAUAUGCACUAAAGUAGUAUCCAGCCACACCUGAAAGAGGAUUAUCGUUCACGGAAUGCGUCGGGCAGGUGCUGGGAUCCGAUAGUAUCUUGCAGGGAUAUAGGCCAUCUGACGUCGAGCCUAUAGUCACUACUGCAGUGGCUGCCUAUUUAGACUUCCACAUCUCUAUUAUCAAGCAAACAAGAUGGAGAUGAUCGUGUUGUCUAUACGCCGGAUGGCAACGAUGAGGAAAAAGCACAGGAAACGUAGCACAUUCGGGAAAUAUGUCAGACUUACUUGGUGCAAUGUGGCAAAGGAGACAUGGAGUGUUCAGCAAACUGGACUUUCCGGAAGAAGCACUGUCCUUACACCAAACAACAAACCUUAGAGCUGGAGAAGAAGUUCCUCUACAGUCUACAAGAUGUACUUGACUCAGGAGCGCCGCCUAGAAAUCAGCCGCAGUGUGCAUCUGACAGACAGGCAAGUCAAAAUAUAGCCUAGUUCCAGAAUGGAAAUUGAGAAAAUGACCAGCGCAAAGAGAAAUAAUCCUCGAAGUCUGUCACG